GCAUGCGGGUGCUAUACAUGCAAGUCGAGCGGACCGACGGGAGCUUGCUCCCUUAGGUCAGCGGCGGACGCGUUAUUAACACGUGGGUAACCUGCCUGUAAGACUGGGAUAACUCCGGGAAACCGGGGCUAAUACCGGAUGCUUGAUUGAACCGCAUGGUUCAAUCAUAAAAGGUGGCUUUUAGCUACCACUUACAGAUGGACCCGCGGCGCAUUAGCUAGUUGGUGAGGUAACGGCUCACCAAGGCGACGAUGCGUAGCCGACCUGAGAGGGUGAUCGGCCACACUGGGACUGAGACACGGCCCAGACUCCUACGGGAGGCAGCAGUAGGGAAUCUUCCGCAAUGGACGAAAGUCUGACGGAGCAACGCCGCGUGAGUGAUGAAGGUUUUCGGAUCGUAAAACUCUGUUGUUAGGGAAGAACAAGUACCGUUCGAAUAGGGCGGCACCUUGACGGUACCUAACCAGAAAGCCACGGCUAACUACGUGCCAGCAGCCGCGGUAAUACGUAGGUGGCAAGCGUUGUCCGGAAUUAUUGGGCGUAAAGCGCGCGCAGGCGGUUUCUUAAGUCUGAUGUGAAAGCCCCCGGCUCAACCGGGGAGGGUCAUUGGAAACUGGGGAACUUGAGUGCAGAAGAGGAGAGUGGAAUUCCACGUGUAGCGGUGAAAUGCGUAGAGAUGUGGAGGAACACCAGUGGCGAAGGCGACUCUCUGGUCUGUAACUGACGCUGAGGCGCGAAAGCGUGGGGAGCGAACAGGAUUAGAUACCCUGGUAGUCCACGCCGUAAACGAUGAGUGCUAAGUGUUAGAGGGUUUCCGCCCUUUAGUGCUGCAGCAAACGCAUUAAGCACUCCGCCUGGGGAGUACGGUCGCAAGACUGAAACUCAAAGGAAUUGACGGGGGCCCGCACAAGCGGUGGAGCAUGUGGUUUAAUUCGAAGCAACGCGAAGAACCUUACC
rnacentral:rRNA from 1 species